GCAACUGAAGAUUUAUUUGAAUUCCAUUGAAACAACAAUUUUUCUGUCAUGGAAUUCUUCCUGGAUUUGGUUUGCUUAUCACACCUGCAAACUCUGGAAUGUCACAGUCUACAUUUAAUAAUUAAGGAUAAAAACUCGGAAUGACAUGUGUUAUAAAACAUUGGUUGCUUGUUCACUCUGUAAAGUAGCAGUACCUACAGUCCUGAAGAAAGCGUGAAGGUGCUUAUUUGCAUUGGGAAUUGAGACAAUGUGUUAUUGUACGAGGAAGGAUUUAUGACAUGAAUUGAUUGAAGAUAAACAAGUGAGGUGAUUGAAGUUCGUUUUGAUGCUACUGAAAACACAAGUCGUCUCCCUCCUAUGGCAUUUUAUCUGUUAACUUUUCUUCUUGGAGGCUCUUUUAGUUAAUUAAUUAAGAAACAUUGAAAUAAUUCGAGAUGCCGUUCAAUUAUGGAGCUUUGAUUGUGUCAGUCCUUCAUCUCUUCCGAAAGUAGCUGUACCUAUGGUCCUAAAGAAAGCAUGAAAAUGCGAUCAUUUCAUCGGGAAUGGAGACAGUGUGCUGUUGCUGAAGAAAGGAUUUGUGGCAAUGAACUGAUUGCCCAUUAAAUGAGAAGGAAUUGCAGUGAAUUUUGGUGCUACUGAAACAACCGAUUGUUUUGAUGUCUUCACCUUGCAACAUUCUGCAGUUAAUGAGAAUAGAAUGCAAUUGGAAAUUGUUUGGAAGCCACUGAAACGACAAAUUGUCAGCUGUGAUAUCUCUUCUAGAUUUGGUUUGCUCUUCAUACUGGUAAAUUUUAGAACACUACUUUCUACAGUUAAUUAAGAUCGUUCAAGAAAUGAGAUGGAAUUAAAGUUCAGUUUGAUAAUACUGAAACAACCAGUGUACAUGGGUGUGGUCUUUCAUGAACUAUCUUCAUGAUGUGCUGUUUUCGUCUUCGCCUUGCAACAUUGUGCAGUUAAUUUUCAACCGAUGGGUGAGAAAAACUGGAUAAUUCCACUCGAAUAACAAAUUUUCUGCAGUGGUAUUCCUCCUGGAUUGGGAUUGUUUUUCACACCUGCAAUUUUUGUAACGUUGCAGUCUAUAAUUAAUUAAGGUGAGAAUACUUGAUAUAAUCAAUUUUAAUUACUCUUUAUUAAUCUGUUACCACCGUAUCU